rnacentral:tRNA from 1 species
GCUGGGGUAGCAAAGUGGUGAAUGUGGCAGGUUUAGGGUUUGUUAUCAAAGGUUCGAAUCCUUUCUUCAGUU